UUCUUUGUGUAUGUAAAUUACCUGGACUGUAAUUUAUUUUUUUCUUGUAUCUCCUUUAUUUUCCAGAAACUUGAAAUUAAACCUAAAGACCUUAUUAGACUCAAAUCACAUAUUUUUGGCAAGAAAAUUGUAUUGUUCAUGCUAUCAAUUGCCUUUUGUGUUAUAUGAGAAGGGACUGCCAUUCCCGUGGUUACAGCUAUUGAAAUGACACCCAUAGAAAACAGAAGAAAAUAAUUAGCUUCCACUCAUUUC
rnacentral:lncRNA from 10 species